CAUUUUUGUCCAAAACAAAAACAUAUAGAAAAUUAUAUUUUUUGAGUUGCAGUUCUUGUUGCACUCCCAGUUCAAGUAGUAAUUUUACUGUAAAACACGAACGGGAAAAACAGCGCUUCACUAUCAAGCUGGAACACGUUUUUUGCUGAACCCUUGGAAGUGCAUGUUUAAAUGAUACUUCAGAGCAGGCUGUGCUGUAUUAUGAGUACACUGGAAAUAAAAAAGUAAACCUGCUGUCUACAGUAGUUCCCACUGAAUUCAGAGGAAAAGGAGUUGGAAAACGUUUAGCUGAGGCUGCCAUGGAU